UGGGGAAUAUUGCACAAUGGGGGAAACCCGUGAUGCAGCGACGCCGCGUGAAGGAAGAAGUAUCUCGGUAUGUAAACUUCUAUCAGCAGGGAAGAUAGUGACGGUACCUGACUAAGAAGCCCCGGCUAACUACGUGCCAGCAG
rnacentral:rRNA from 1 species